AUUUUACUGUGAUCAAUUCAAACCAAACUCUCUCUCAAAACCAAAAAUGUGGACUGAGAACUGGAGUGGAUGGUUUCUUUCAUUUGGUGGUGCUGUGCCUUACAGACCAGUGGAAGAUCUUGCUUUUGCUGUGGCGCGCUUUUACCAGCUAGGUGGAACUUUUCAGAAUUACUAUAUGUACCAUGGAGGGACUAAUUUUGGCCGAAGUGCUGGUGGACCUUUCAUUUCUACUAGUUAUGAUUAUGAUGCUCCAAUUGAUGAGUAUGGAACUAUUAGACAGCCUAAGUGGGGUCACCUUAAAGACUUGCAUAAGGCCAUUAAA
rnacentral:sRNA from 1 species